AUGCCGUUAUGGGGACAUUUUCUCAGCAACUCCUUGAGCCUUUCCCAAGAGUCAUACAAAGAUUCACCAUCCAGCUGAUAGAAAUUAUUAAUCUCCCCUCUCAAUUU